GUCUACGGCCAUGCUACCCUGAACAAGCCCGAUCCCAUCUGAUCUCGGAAGCCAAGCAGGAUCGGGCCUGGUUGGUACUCGGAUGGGAGACCACCUAGGAAGACCAGGUGCUGUAGAUG
rnacentral:rRNA from 1 species